AUGCAUGAAGGUACCGACUCCGUCAAGGAAUCCAAGUUGGAUGUGCUCCAAAGUCAGCUUGACAAGUUCAAAAUGAAGGAUGGUGAAGGUGUCGCUGGAAUGUACUCUAGGCUUGCUCUUAUCACAAAUGAGAUUGCUGGCUUAAGGAGUGAAGAGAUGACCGACAGAUUCAUCAUCAAGAAAAUCCUAAGAGCAUUGGAUGGAAAAUAUGGUAUCGUGUGCACAUUGAUUCAAAUGAUGACCAAUUACAAAAAUCUCAAGCCAACGGAAGUCAUUGGUAGAAUUGUUGCUCAUAAGAUGUCACUCAAGGAUAAGGAGAAACUUCACAACAAGUCAAGUGGUGCUUACAAAGCCUCAUGUGAAGCUCCUACAUUAUCAAGUGAGAAACAAACCUUCAAUGAAGAAUUGAGCUUAAUGGUGAAGAAUUUCAACAAAUUCUACAAGAGUAGAAGCAAAGAAAGAAGCUCUAAGUCAAGGUCUUACAAUGACAAGAGAUCUUCUAGUCGAGAGCGCAAUUGCUAUAAUUGUGGGAGACCCGGACACUAUUCCAAUGAGUGUACGACAUCCUACAAAAGAAGAGAAGAUUCUCCUAAGAGAAGAAGUAGAAGAGAAGAAUCACCGCCAAGAGAGAGGAGGAGUAGAGAUGAUCGUUAUGAACGAAGAACAUCCUGGAGAAGCAAGGAUUCGGAAAGGAAGGACAGGUCAUCAAAGAGCUACACAAAACGAAGACAUUAA
rnacentral:rRNA from 1 species